UCAAUAUAAAUUGAUUAUAUUUUAUUUAUUAAUUUUUUUAUUUGUUAAUUUAUUUUAUUAAAAAUAAUUAUAAAAAUUAUUGUUUUAGUAUUGUAUAAAGAAAAAAUAAAAUUAAUUAUAGUGAAUUAGUAUUGUGAAAGAAAAUUGAAAUAUUUUGAAAAAUUUUUAUUAAAAAAGAAAAUUUAAUUUAUUGUACCUUGUGUAUCAGGGUUUAUCUAAUAAAAAAUAUGUAUUUAUAUUUUUCUCGAUUUUAAAAGAGUUAAUAAAUUAUUAAAGUUAAUGUAGUAAAAUUAUUUUUAAUAAUUUAUUAGAAAUGAAAUGUUAUUCGUUUUUAAAGGUAUCUAGUUUUUUAAGAAAUGAAUUUAAUUCAUAAAUAUUAAAUUUAUUUAAUUAGUUAAAAUAAUCAAAUAAUUUUUUAUUUAAAUAUUUUAUGGGAUAAGCUGUAAAAUAAAAUUUUAAAAAUAAAAAAUAAUAUUAUAAAAAUAUAUGCUUAGAAUUAGCAAUUAUUAAAAAGUUUGUUAUAAUUUAUUAUAAAAAUUAUAUUAUUUAUUAAAUUUUAAAUUUUUAUUAAAAAAUUUAUUUUAAUUUUAAAAAUAAAAUUAUAAUGAUAAAAUUAGUAUAUAAAAGUUAUUGUAAAAAUAAAUUUAAAUGAUAAGUUUAAGUAAAGAACUCGGCAAAAUAAAUAUUCGCCUGUUUACCAAAAACAUGUCUUUUUGAAUUAAUUUUAAAGUCUAACCUGCCCACUGAAAUUUUUAAAUGGCCGCAGUAUACUAACUGUGCAAAGGUAGCAUAAUCAUUAGUCUUUUAAUUGAAGGCUGGUAUGAAUGGUUGGACGAGAUAUUAACUGUUUCAUUUAAAAUUUUAUAGAAUUUUAUUUUUUAGUCAAAAAGCUAAAAUUUAAUUAAAAGACGAGAAGACCCUAUAAAUCUUUAUAUUUAAAUUAUUUUAAUUAGAAAGAUUAGUUAAAUUAUUAUAAUAUUAAAUAUUUUAUUGGGGUGAUAUUAAAAUUUAAAAAACUUUUAAUUUAUUUAUAACAUUAAUGUAUGAAUUAUUGAUCCAUUAAUAAUGAUUAAAAAAUUAAGUUACUUUAGGGAUAACAGCGUAAUUUUUUUGGAGAGUUCUUAUCGAUAAAAAAGAUUGCGACCUCGAUGUUGGAUUAAGAUAUAAUUUUGGGUGUAGCCGUUCAAAUUUUAAGUCUGUUCGACUUU
rnacentral:rRNA from 1 species